AUACCUUUCUCGGCCUUUUGGCUAAGAUCAAGUGUAGUAUCUGUUCUUAUCAGUUUAAUAUCUGAUACGUGGUCAUUGACCCACAUGAUAUUAAAUUAAUUUUUUAAGGGGCAGGCCCACCACGGUAGCUUUGCUAUCGGGGCCUUCGGCAUCUCUUUUGCGUUGCACUACUGCAUCGGCUGGCGCACCCCUC